rnacentral:lncRNA from 1 species
UUGUCAUCUACAGCUAGGCUUAAAUAUUAUUGAAAUUAUUGAAGGCUUUUGAAAGUUUCUUUGCAGUUGUUUAAAAUAACAGCUUUGCCAUUAAUGGCAGGCAAUCACAACAUUCAUCCAGUAUUUUGAUUUUUUUUUUCUUGGAGCACAAACUGAGUGAGAAAAGUAAUUUUCUUUUUCACAUAUAGAAUCUAUUUUAGUUACUCUAGCAGGUUUUUGUUGUUGUUGAUGACCAAUUUUCAGGUCCAAAUGUUAACCUUAACAAUUCACAAGGGGUGGUGGGAACUAAAGAUUUUUUUUCACUCUCUAGUCCAACUUACUUCAGCACCUGCUAGUCACUAUAGGCAGCCUGACUUUUAACAGGCUCAUCAGCAAAUCCGUGGAUGAAAUGUCUUGAGGACAUUCAACCACACUGAGGGGCCCAGUGAUCAUCAAGGAUGCUUGCAGUAGCAGCCUAUUAACUUCCUUUUAUCUGCUUAUGAGAUUAAUUUGGGUUGAUCAGAUACUUGAUUGUACUGUAUUUUUCUCCCUUCCUGUACUCUGUGGUUGAUUUCUCAUUAAAUCCAGUGGUGACACCUCCACAAGGCUUCGAAAUCUGUCUUUAACUUCCAGCUAAUGGAGGAGCUUGCUGUGAAUAGUACAAGCUCUUAUUUUUCAGGACAGUAAUAAUGACUGAGGGAAUAAAAUCCUUUGUACCGGCUCUCCUGUCCAACCUUGAAAGAUGUGUUGCUGCAGGAUCGGUGGCUCUUCAGAGUAUCCCUUAUUGUCAAUCACGUUAACUAAUCACCAGCAGAGGACUCUUGAAUUUGGCAAACUUGGGAUUUACUCUUUAAAAGUGCUGUUAGCUCAUGGAACUUGAAGGACCUGUCAUUCUUUCUGCUGACUCAUUUUUUAUUCCUUCAUUGUGCUCUGGUAUAUGAGGAGGAAGGGAUCUCUAUUUUGGUAGAUAUAAUUAUGUCCUUUAGUGAAUUUCUGAGUGAGCAGAUAAGUCUGACAUUUCCUCCCACUUUGUUUCUCUCCUUGGACACCCCCCACCCCAGUUGUCACAAUAGUGUUGUGGAAAGAGCACUGGGCCGGGGGUAGACCCUAUUUGCUUGGCCCCUGCUCUGCCUGUGGCCAGCUGUGUGACCUCAAGCAGUCCCAUAAACUUUUUAGGAGAACUUUCCAAUUGUCCACUUUCCAGCACAUUUAUCUAAGUCAUGGUUUAGAGGAAGAGAGAAGAGAGAGAUAAUUAAGGAAAUAACUAGUAUUGAGAAUAAAAAUAUUUGUCUUAGGUUGAACAUAUGCAAUCGCCAUUUUUGUAGGCUACGUAUUUUCAUAGAACUUGACCAAAUAGGUUCCUCUAUCCACACCUCAAGGCCUAAGGACUCUAACAUAUGUAAGGCAAGUUCUAUAGAUGUGUCAGAAAUUUCCCUACUCAAGUCAGAUCUGGCUUGAGUCCACCUAGUGGAGGAGAUGGAAAUUGUUCUUAGUAUUUACAACUACUUUUUCUAUCUCUUCCCUUACAUAUUAUUCUCUCUCCUCCCUGGUUAACUCCAGACCUUCAGAACCUUCAUACUCUUUCCAUCCUAUCCAUUCAUCAUUAGUUCAUCUACCUUAUUCAUCUCCCUACUUGUUUCACAUGUGUUUUUAAUACUUACCAUAUUCCAUGUACCACACAAGAGAAAGGAAAAAGGUGAGCUAGAGAAUGGUCAUAAACUCAAUAACAGGCCAUUCUAAAUAGGUGAUAUGCCUUUAUGUUGCUGAAGAUACUCCAUUUUAACCACAGAAUCAUUUUAUAUGCUUUUUAAAAAAAUGUUUGUGUUAUUGUGGAAUUACAGGAAUAAGAAAAUUACAUGGGAAAGUGGUUUAGUUCAGAAAUUGUACAUAUUGGUGAGGUUUGGAAAGACUGUUCCUUUAUAUACUGUGCCUUUUUGAAGAAGGUUCAAAUUCCUGUCUGAUUUUAGGUAGCACAUGAAUAAUUGCCUUAUUAGCUUUUCUUCUCUUUCCUGAACUAAGCCAAGUUCCAAUCAAAUUGUAUAGUGUGCCCCAGAUGAGACGCGCCCUGGUGCACAAUAGAACCAUAUAAAUGUUGUUAUCCACUUCUUUUAAAUUGGAGAGCUGUAACUUUUUUGUAGCUUUGAAUAUUUCAUUUAGAAUUUAUAUAAAAAGUAGGGCAGAAAUCGAAAUAUUUCUGCUUUCCAUUAUGUAUUCGCCUCAUUUUUAGAGAGAUAUUUAACAUUUCAAACUAGUUAAAUUUAUUUUACUCUUCUUUGAGGUGAGAAUGCCUUUGAGAUUUCUAGUGGAAUAAAUGUAAAGCUCCCAUGUCACUCGGCCUUCUCAGGUCCUUUCUCUCUUAUUUGAACCAUCUCCUGACAAUAACAUUUAGAACAAUAUCAUCUACAUGUAAAGCCUGUAUUAAAGUAAUCCCUUCUUCACUAUCGAUUUAGCAGCAUUAAACACUGUUCAUCUGUAAAGCUGGGGCACAAUCAGAAAAUUAUUUUUUCUAGUCCCAUACUUUAGGAUAUGAAUGUGAGCAUCACAAUUUGAAUUACUUGGCCUGUUUCUUUUUCAUAAUCACAAACUUUGGGCAUAAGAGAAAGAUUUUUGGAUGUUGAGAAAGGGAUAUUGAGUGUAACUGUCAUGGUUCUAAGCUAUCACAGAGUAACUAAUUUUUGUGGAUUACCAUAUCAGAUAUCACAGAAUCCAUUUUACCUCCAAGAGUAUAGUUAGAUACAUCUUUGAUUUGUCAGUGAGAAUAACUUUCAAGGCUUACUUAAUGGGAACGUAUCAUUUUGAUAUACCGCGUCCCUUAUCUUCUACUUAGCAAGAGAUUAUUAUUUCCAUAUUGAAAGGAUCUAAUUCUAUAGACAGACGCAGAAUGUUUUUUGUUUGUUUCCACCUCUACAGUAUGCUGGUGAGGAUCAUGCUGAUUGCCGAUUGGCAGGGGCAUCCAAGGUGGUUUUCUUGUUAGGUGCACAGGAGAAGAAAGCAGACAGUCAUGGAUAAUAGUAAGCCGACAUUCGAGAACAGGAUUGAAGGCAAAGUGUGGGGUCACUGUAGGAGAGAGAAAAAUAACAGUUAGUUUCAAGAUGAAGAAAGAAGCAAGAAUAAUGUCCCCUUGGGAGAAAAAUACCUCCAAUAAGCAUAUGGGAAAUGAGAAAGGAUUCAUGAGGGGAAAGGAGGAUUCUGGGAAGGGCUGGGAAGUUGGCUUGGGGAAGAAAAGGUGCCUGGUUUAGAGAAGGGUGUCAGGAUGGAGAAAGUAUGACAGGGAAAAGAACUCCAUUACUAAAGGGUGGAUGCCAUUUUAAAUAAUGUCAACCUCAAGGAUGGUUGGCCCACUUCUGGAAUGAAUAGCAUCAAAGGUUUAUGUGUUAUUUAUCCUUUCUUAAGGCCUCCUCAUGUUAGAAAGUAGCAAACCUACUCUUCUAGAUGCUCAGGCCCAUAACCUUGGAGUUAUCUUUGAACCCGUUCAGUCUCCCAGACUCCAUAUCCACUGAUUUCCAGUUCUUUCUUAUUGGCUCUACUAGGGAAAAUAUAUCUAGACCCACGACUAUUUCUCACCACCUCCAUUGCUACCUCCCUGGUCCAAAGCUCUAUUCUCUCUGUCAGAUUAUUACAGUAGCCUCUGACUUGUUGGCCCAGUUCUUGGCUUGGGCCUUUGUUUCCAUAUAGACUAUUCUCAACACUUUAGUGGAGAGUCACACCUCUCAAAGGGAUACACACCUCACCCACAGUGAAAGCUCCAGUCCUCACUAUCUCUCAUGAAGCCCAAAGUCAGGGCUUCUCACCUGGGGGCACAUUAGAAUCCUCAGGGGAUUUUUAUAGACAUGCUGAUGUCUAGGCUUUAACAAAUUUGAAUCCCUGGAAGUGGAGCCUAGAGGCAUUGUAUCUUUUAAAAGCUCCCAUGUCCUAAGUUUUGGGGAUCAACAAUGAAUAAGACCUAGUUCCAAGUCUUAAGCUUUUGACACCUGACCAGGGACACCCACCCUGGUAACUGUAAUAGUCUUUGGUGAGUACCAAGAAGAACAAAUUGCUGGGGAAUCUCAGGAAAAGUCAGGUGUCUUAGUCUGUUUGGGCUGCUGUAACAAAAACACCAUAGACCACUUGACUUUAACAACAUACAGUUAUUCUCACAGUUGUGGAGCUUGGGAAGUCAAAGAUCAAGGUGCUGACAGAUUCAGAGCCUAGGAAGGACCUGCUUCCUGGCUUAUGGUUGUUUUGUUUUUUUUUUUUUUCACUUUGUCCUCAUAUGACUGAAGGGGUGAGGGAGUUCUAUGGGAUCUUUUUUAUAAGAGCACUAACCUCAUUCAUAAGUCUCAGCUCUCAUUACCCAAUCAGCUUCCAAAAGCCCCACGUCCAAAUACAAUCACACUGGGGAUGAAGCUUCAACAUAUGAAUGCUGGGGGCACAUAGACAUUCAAUCUAUAUCUCCAAAACUACACAAAGUGGAGGGGAGUCAAAGAAGUGGCAUUUUUCUGGACUUUGAAGGAUGAGGAAGGCUUUCCCUGAGAGAGGAGAGAAAGUGCAGUCAAGAUGACCUCAUUUAUUAUGGCUACAAAAUGCUAGUAGGAACCAUGCUGAUGUGAUUAUAGAAGAAGCUUUCAAAUUAGGCAAACCCCGGUUCAAUUUCUUGGCAAAUUACUUCACCUCUUAGUGUCUCAAUUUUCCUGUCUCUGAAAUGGAGAUAAUCAUAGUACCAGUCUCAUAGGGAUGUAAGAAUUAUCAACUGUCUUUGGCAUAUUGUAGGUACUUCAUAAUGUUAACUUUCUACAAUAGCUAAUUAGGCAUUUCUCUCAAAGAAAAGUAAAGGAAAUAGCUUUUAAAUGGCUUACGGUUUUUCUUGGGUGCUGUAUACCCUUGCUACUCACAAUGUGGUCCUCACACCAGCACGGGCAGCAGUUGGCAGAAAUUGCAAUGCCUCACUCAGGGCCCAUUGCGGAACUACUGAACAGAAUCUGCAUUCUAAUAAGAUUUAUCCCCCAGAUGAUUUGUGUGCACAUUAAAUUUGAGAAGCAUUAUUGUAGAGCAUAAAAAGGUGAGCAAGAAAUAGCUCUUGCCUUUGUGGUGCUUAGAGGUCCCUUUAAUAACUUUAGCAUUUACAGAAAUAAUUAUAAUGCAGGGUAUAAUGUGAUAAAUGACAUGAGACGUCCUCACCAAAUACUAAAAUACAGCAGAUUGUUUUAAGCUCCAGUUGAAAAUAGUAUAAAGUUCCUUUUCUCUCUAAUAAGGUAUGAAAGUUCUUAAAGUUAUAAUAAGCCCCCUUCCCUUUCUGCCAUCCUUCAAUUGCUGUAAACCAUAGAGCUUAUUGAAUAUCUAAGCAGAGAGCUACAUCUGUUUAUGCACAUUGGGAACAAUUGACCAACAAGUACGAGUUGAAUCCGUUGCCUGAAAUAAAAGGCACAAGAAGUACUAGAAGUUAAUAAAAAAAGACCCAAUAGUUUUGUCUAUGAGAUGAAGUAGACUAUCUAGAGAAAGAUCAAGGUUAAGAUAAGCAUGUGAAUAUAAAUAUUAGUUUCCUUAAUUUUUGAUGCUCAGCGCUUUUCAAAAGAAAACCCUAUUUUUUAAAUAUAACAGCAAUGAAUAAAACAAAAAGAAGUCUUCAAUUUCCCCAGUUGACAUUAUGAUCAAAAUAUCAAUUUAAUAAUUAUCCUCCUUUUAAUAGGACUGAUUUCAUCUUGUCAAGUUUACCAUUACAAGUUACUAGAACAGCCAGAGUAAAGCAAUUUGAGUUCCAUAUAGUCACCACAAUGUAAUUAUUAUUUUUGAAAUUAAUUUUGCCGUUUUCUUUUUGUUUAAGAAAUGAGGUCUUACUGUGUUGCCCAGGCUGGUAUCAAACUCCAGUGAUCAAGUGGUCCUCCUACCUCAGCCUCCCAAACAGAUAUGACAGCUGCAUAGAUUCAACCUACUAUGAAAAGCCAAAACAUGGAAUAUUACACUAAUUAAACGGUUACACAACAGAACAUGGAAUGUGCGACACUUCAUCUUGGGAUGCAAAUUUUUGUGCUAAAAAAAACUGAGAAAAACAAAAAGAAAAACAUGUAUUUCUGAGGAACUUGUUUUUAUAUCUGGCAUAAAUGAGAAAAAGCUAAUUAAAACUAUUAAUUAUCAGAAAAUUGAAGAUAAAGUUGAAGAGCCUAUACCAACCAAAGUUGAAUAAAUGGCAAAAUAUAAUAUAGAUGAGUUACUCUGAAAUAAUUUUUUAUUUCCUACUAUCUAACUUACCAAACUUCCUGAUUUUAAUUACAUAACAAUUUUUUGGUUAUUUUAAUAUUCAUUUGGUACUUAUUUCCUUUUUUAUUGUUAUAGUAUUAGAUGAAAUCAUAACAUCAAUUUGCUCCUUUGUAAAAGAGGAUGUUGAGUUAGAAGUGUUCUAAGGUGGCUUUCAGCAAUAGGCUGCCAUACCAAUUGGAAAAAUCUAGCAUGGUAUAAAAGAAUAUUUAAGCAGUAAUUAUGACUGGAAAACAUCAGAGUGGAAAUGAAGUAUGGCUGAGAAACCUUUUUGCUUUUAGCUUUUUUUGGAGUUCAUUACAAUAAAAUGAAAUUAUAGAAACUUAA